CAAUAGCGUAUAUUAAAGUUGUUGCGGUUAAAAAGACUCGUAGUUGGAUUUCUGCCGAGGACGUCCGGUCCGCCCUCUGGGUGAGUACAUGGCACGGCCUGGGCAUCUUCUUGGGGAACGUAUCUGCACUUGACUGUGUGGUGCGGUAUCCAGGACUUUUACUUUGAGGAAAUUAGAGUGUUUCAAGCAGGCACACGCCUUGAAUACAUUAGCAUGGAAUAAUAAGAUAGGACCUCGGUUCUAUUUUGUUGGUUUCUAGAGCUGAGGUAAUGAUUAAUAGGGAUAGUUGGGGGUAUUUGUAUUCCAUUGUCAGAGGUGAAAUUCUUGGAUUUUUGGAAGACAAACUACUGCGAAAGCAUUUACCAAGGAUGUUUUCAUUAAUCAAGAACGAAAGUUAGGGGAUCGAAGACGAUCAGAUACCAU
rnacentral:rRNA from 1 species